rnacentral:lncRNA from 1 species
GGAUACCAACACUCGAUCUGUUCUGAGACAACAUCCUAGUCUGUGCAAGUGGAAGGAUAUUUCAGUGAUUAGACCUCUGCCAGCCCUGGACAUGUCAAACCCAGCUUCAGCCUCACGCUCCUGAUUAUUUUGUUGAGAAGAAAUGUGAAGCACAUCUUAAAGCAAAUCCCAUAGCACCGGGGAACUCUUCUGGAAUUCAAGAAAGAAAAGCUCUCUCUCAUACUUGCUGCCCCAACGGUGACAUCACAAGGAAAUGAGUAGGCCCUGACCCAGA